GACGAACGCUGGCGGCGUGCUUAACACAUGCAAGUCGAACGGAACGGCCCCUUUGGGGGUCCUCGGGUGGCGUACGGGGGGGUAACACGUGAGUAACCUGCCCUUGACUUCGGGAUACCUUCAGUAAACUGGGGCUAAUACCGGAGAGGAAUCCUUGCUGCAUGGUGGGGGUUGGAAAGCUGCGGCGGUUUUGGAUGGACUUGCGGCCUAUCAGCGUGGUGGUGGGGUAGUGGCUUAGCAAGGCUUUGACGGGUAGCCGGCCUGGGUGGGCGACCGGCCACAGUGGGACUGAGACUCGGACCAGACUCCGACGCGUGGCAGAAGUGGCGGAGGGUGCUCUAAGGGCGUAGGCCUGAUGCAGCAACGCCGCGGGCGGGAGGACGGUCUUGGGGUUGGAAUCCUAAUUCAGCAGGGGCUGGGCAUGUGAUGACGGUACCUGCAGAAGAAGCACCGGCUAACUACGUG
rnacentral:rRNA from 1 species